GAGUUACAGACAUCCCAAUUCUCAUUAAUACAAACUCGACCUAACCAUAAACCCAAUUUAUUGACCCAAUAUUUCCUUCGAGUUAUUACACGCGUCUGUAUGAAGUAAGUCUUCAACACGCGUCCUUUUCUGUGUUUACAUGAGACGAUAGCCAAAUUAGGGUGACACGUGUCCCUGAACACCACACGUGGGAUGAGAAAUCUGAGACGCAACCUCACCGGCGAACCCCAGUCUUCUUGAGCUUUGUCUCCGAGAACUAUUUGAAACUCCUUUGCUUCUUAUCUUUCGUUCAACUGUCACUUAAGUUAGAACCACCAUCAACGCUGCAGGAUAAUAAACUUGGGAAUACUCAGUUGAUCUAAUUGAAGAUUUUACCUGACCACUUUCGAUAUAGAGAAGAUGCUGACUCAUCUAGAUCUCCAUCAGAACCAACCAAAAUCAAUCCAACAUCACAUCUUCCUUUCCAUCUAGGAUACUUUACCCAUAAACCGAUUUAGCGGCUCCAACAUAAGGAAUAAAGAUUGAUUCCUUUUGGAAAGGAGAAAGUGCAAUCCGGGAGAGAAGAGGAGAGUUUUCCUAAGCGAAUGGGAUUUUGCUAACGAACUGCGAAAGAUAAGGGUUACUGUAUUUACACCGAUCCCUUUCGAAGAACAUGGAAACAUCCUUGAAACUUUGCUUCGACUGAAAUUGGAUACACUACAAAAGUCGCCACUGCAAAAAUUAAAUCCGCUAACCGGAAUAGAAGAGAUUUGUGAAAGCGAAAAUUAUCUACAAACAAAAAACAAAAGAUAAAAGGGGUUGGUGACCAGCGCACCGUCACCGGCCACCGGAAUUGAUUUUCUUCAAAGAAAGUUCUAGAGAGAGGUUAGAGGAAAGGAAAGAAGAGAGAGGUUUUUUGCUGUCAGACAGUAAUUAUUAUUAUUUUUAAAACAAAGUCGAAGUGAAAAAUAAAAGAACC
rnacentral:lncRNA from 1 species